CAAAACUUUCAACAACGGAUCUCUUGGUUCUGGCAUCGAUGAAGAACGCAGCGAAAUGCGAUAAGUAAUGUGAAUUGCAGAAUUCAGUGAUCAUCGAAUCUUUGAACGCACAUUGCGCCCUCUGGUAUUCCAGAGGGCAUGCCUGUUCGAGCGUCAUUU
rnacentral:rRNA from 1 species